rnacentral:misc_RNA from 1 species
UCUCUCAUCACUUGGAUUAAUUAAUACUAGUAAUAUUUAGAGACUCUUGGGCAAGCAUAGAAAUAAUUAGCAAAUGAGGAUGGUGAUGCAGGAGGUGUAGAGGCUAGGCAGCAAGGGAGGGGUGGUGGUGGUCAGAGUUGGGGAUGGUCUCCUUGUGGAGAUGACCGUCUCCCUUGGGGACGAUGAGACCGAAGCCUCCUUCCUUCCUCUUGUACAGG